rnacentral:rRNA from 1 species
UACGGGGGGGGCAAGCGUUGUUCGGAAUUACUGGGCGUAAAGGGCUCGUAGGUGGCCAACUAAGUCAGACGUGAAAUCCCUCGGCUCAACCGGGGAACUGCGUCUGAUACUGGAUGGCUUGAAUCCGGGAGAGGGAUGCGGAAUUCCAGGUGUAGCGGUGAAAUGCGUAGAUAUCUGGAGGAACACCGGUGGCGAAGGCGGCGUUCUGGACUGCAACUGACACUGAGGAACGAAAGCCAGGGGAGCAAACGGG